CACCCCUGGCAAUGGGCAAAGAAACACCUUGUUGGUGGUGUUGCUCUUAUAUCAGUCAGGGGUAAGACAAUUGAUAGUCCGUUGUUCAUCCUAUCUUGAUACCUAACUUGGUUGCCAAAGCUGUUUUAUGCCUAGGACUCAUAA